ACACUCCUACGGGAGGCAGCAGUGGGGAAUUUUGGACAAUGGGCGAAAGCCUGAUCCAGCAAUGCCGCGUGCAGGAUGAAGGCCUUCGGGUUGUAAACUGCUUUUGUACGGAACGAAAAAGCUCCUUCUAAUACAGGGGGCCCAUGACGGUACCGUAAGAAUAAGCACCGGCUAACUACGUGCCAGCAGCCGCGGUAAUACGUAGGGUGCGAGCGUUAAUCGGAAUUACUGGGCGUAAAGCGUGCGCAGGCGGUUAUGUAAGACAGAUGUGAAAUCCCCGGGCUCAACCUGGGAACUGCAUUUGUUACUGCAUGGCUAGAGUACGGUAGAGGGGGAUGGAAUUCCGCGUGUAGCAGUGAAAUGCGUAGAUAUGCGGAGGAACACCGAUGGCGAAGGCAAUCCCCUGGACCUGUACUGACGCUCAUGCACGAAAGCGUGGGGAGCAAACAGGAUUAGAAACCCGGGUAGUCCCAUGAU
rnacentral:rRNA from 1 species